ACUUGAAGAUAUCUGUCCCACAAGGUUAUCAUUUCUAGAAGGUGAAUGAGGCCAAAAAUGUGCUGAAGCUUUGUGAUUUUGGUAAUGCUAUGCUUGUUGGGAAGAAUGAGAUUACACCAUAGUUGUAUCUCUGUUCAGUACUUCUUUGUGUGAUGUGUAUGCUUCCGAAUCGUGAUGUGAGGGUUAUUAUUGACUGGUUUCUUGAAACAGCAGUACUUGGCUUGCCGUAUGACCAUGCUUUGGACAUAUAGGUCAGUUGGCUGCUGCUUGUACGAGCUAUAUACAGGAAAGGUCCUCUUCCCUGGACCAUCAAACAAUGACAUGCUUCGGCUUCAUAUGGAGUUAAAAGGUCCAUUUCAUAAAAAGAUGCUCAGGAAGGGAGCCUUUACAGAUCAUCAUUUUGAUCGGGAUCUGAAUUUCCAUGCCACUGAGGAAGAUCCUGUUACAAAGAAGGUGAUCAUUUUUUCAUUAUCAUGUACUUCAGGUUAAUUUAUCUAUAGCAUGGUGAAAGUACACCUUGUUUGUGUUAUAUAUUUAUAUAUAUAUAUCAUUGUUCAGUAACAAGUGGCUGGGUAUGGCCAUUAUGUCCUUUAUACCUGCAUCUUAAUUGACUCCACAAGGACGAUGCAGGGAGUUCUUUCCUUGGUCAGCAAUACCAUAAUAAAGCAAGCCAAGUAGAGAUGUGCACCGAAAGGAUGUAAGUGAACAAUGCUAAUCAGCUAGUUUGUAACAAAUGUACGUAAGGUAACUAAUUAGCUAAUGACAAAGUGACUAUAGUUGUUGAAAGGGCACUCUUAUGGGUUUAAGAUAGAAAACAUCGAUUUCAAGAUCUGAGUGUGGGAGAUUGACUUGCAGUUGAAGAAAGAGAUUCCUGAUUUCUUUCACAAAAUGUAUAAAAUCUAUCACUUUUACUGUAGAUUUCUGUUGUUCUGUAAAGAUUACUGUAGAUUUAGUGUUUUGUGAAGAUAUGGCAUCAAAUUUCAAACAAUCCUGCAUGACAAUGGUCACAAAGGUGAGGAAAAUGAUUGGUAGAAAAUCAUGUGCAAGUGUUAUAAUUAGAUGAUGGACAAUAAAUAGAUGAUAUUUUAUUGUUUUCAUUUUUUAUUUGCUUAAAUAAUUUCAUCUUGUCUUGCUUAGAACUUUAAAGUUUUUUCUUAAUGUGUUAUUACUUGUAACAUUAUGAGCAUGUUAUGUUAAUUGAUGUUUAUUCCCAUAAGUCUAUAUUUAUGUGGAACAUGUUUUUAAUGGAAAACAUUUUUUUCUUUAUCUUUUUUGUUUUUUUAAUUUAUUUUGAACUUUUAACAUUAAAUUGAAUUUCCGGUACUUUUCACCUCUUCUUUUUUUGGUUGCAGUUGAAGAACCACCUGUAUGCAUAAUGUUUUUCCCUUUAGCUGUUCCCAAACUGACACCAACAUGUUCUUCUUCAAGCUCAACGUCGUCACCUUCACUUUCUUCCUCUGCAUGCUGUUAAGCGACUGCUUGUGAAUAUUAAGGCAAAGGAUUUUAGUAGUCUUAUUUCAAGCUAUACUGGUGAGGAUCCCAAGAUGCUGGCCAAUUUCAAAGAUCUGCUUGAUAGAAUUUUUGUGCUCGAUCCAGAGAAAAGAUUGACAGUAUCUCAAGCACUGAGUCAUCCAUUCAUUACGGGCAAGUGAAUAAGGAUGCUGAUAUUUCUGAUCCAGAACUGCUGUUGAGUUAGCUAUGCAUUUGAAUCUUUUAUUCAGCCAUCUGAUCAUUGGGCAUUUGCUUGUCUCUAUCUUUGUCACAUGGACCAAGUGCAAGCAAUGCAGACUUCUUGCUGAUCGUGAGCUUAACACAGCCACUCUGGAGAGCUCUCUUACUUGGAGAGUCCUUUCAGUCGAAUAUAUUCUAUUUCUAUUGGCUUAUGGCAGUUCUCUGAGGCAAAUAUAACAAUGGUUUUGAUGGUUGAAGACAGCAGAAAAAAGAAGGUUUCAACAUCUGCUGAUUAAUGCGUGAUCUGUGCAAUGAAUAGGAGAUAAUUAACUUUGUCUCCAUAAUUCUGCCUUUCUAUAACACUGCUCCCUAAGCUGACAUUCUUUUGGUGGUUCGGGAGGCUAUCUGGCUUGAAGCACCAAUUAUUUGGGUAGGGCAGAUGAUUUCUGGUGUCUUUUAUGCACGGUAAGUAUUCAAACUUCGGCUUGCUGGUUAAAUAUUCUUUUCCUUUGUGAGAAUAUCCUUGUCCUGAUUCAUUCCUUUUUGCUGCAUUAGGUUGAGUUCUCUGUUUAUUCUACACUUUACAUUUGUAUACUGCCGUCAUUGACUAUAAAUCAUGUUAGUACCUUUUAUUAUUUGACCUUAUACUCUUAUAGUUUCUUUUAGUGUUAGUUCUUGGUUUCUUUCAUUUCUUGCUUUCUUGUUACAUUUUCUUGGUAGUUUAUCAAAAUUUAUAGUGACUUUUCAAAUCAAGGUAGAUAUUGGCCUUAGCCUUGUGAUGACGUUUAAAUAUACUCUCAUUUUGGUAUUUGCCUAUUACCUGUUGUUGAUGUGUUUUGGUCUAUUUCAAUUGCUACUUAUAUGGGUUAUAAUUCCAAGUUCAUGUUUGGUUAAUCUGUUUUAUUACUUAGAGAUGUUUUAUUACUUAGAGAUCUGCAUGUGUGAGAAUUACUCUGCAUGUGUGAGAAUUACUCUCCAUCUGCAACCAAUGAACAUUGCGCUAAUCUAGGUGUUUUGCUUUAGUAAUUUGUCCAUGAUUUUUGCUAGGGUUGUACAAUGUGCACAGCUGCUCACUUAUAUUGCUGUCAGAUGAAGUAUGCCUAUCUUUAGUGCUGUUGUUUAUUAAUAAUUCUAUGCAUUGGAUUCUGUUAGAGUCCCAUGCUACUUUGUGGUUUUAUCAUCAUUCUAAAUACUUAGUGCAGCGCAUAAGUAGCAAUUUCAUAGACUAUGAUAAACAUUUACUGCAAUGAAUGAUCCCAAUGCAAGGUUCAUCACUCCAAGGCAUCCCUCACUGUGCGGAUGGCUUAGCAGGGCAUGCUUUAAGAGGAAACCUUUUUUUUUUUUCAUCUUUUCAAAUUUUUGAUGGUCUGAGAGUCGGUUAGUUCCACCUCCAAAAACAUGAUGCACGGGAAUCCUCAACCCAAUGUUGUAAAACGCGUAUCGUAAGUCGUAUCGGUCGGACUUUAAGAUACGCCGUAUCGUAACCGUAUCGUAAAUUUUUUUAAAAAAUUAUUAAUAAAGCAGAAAAAAUUUAAAAAAUUCAGAAAAUUCAUAAAAAAAUCAGAAAAAAUUAAAAAUAAUAAAUUGUUCAUAGAAAACAUGUUUGAGAUAAUGAUAGACUUAUUAUUGCUAUAAACUUACGCGUUCAUCAUUCAUAAACAUCAAAAUUCAUAACAAUAAAUAAUACAAUAUCAUUCAACAAAGCAUAAGGUCAUAAGCCAUAAAGUGAUAAAGUCAUAAAACAUUCAAUCAAGUGUUCAACAACCAUAGAUUCAUAACUCUUAAGUUUUUGUUACAUAUAAAAUGAAAGCACUCUUGACUUGACUCUCAUUCAUGAUUCAUCAUUCAUAAUUUUUUUCAUCUUCAUCUUCUUCUUCUUCUUCAUCGUCAAGAAUUGGAAGAUCUUCACCAACAUAUUCAGCACCAGCACCAGCAGUAGCAGACUCUCCUUCAUCAACAAAGCCUUCUGUUGCUUCAGCUUCAAGGUUGAAGCAUUCAAGAUCUUCAUCAUCAAAUAUUGUAGCUGGUUCUUCUUCAAUCCAUGGCUCUAGAUCGUCAAAAUUUUUCAAGCUGAUAGGAUCGAACUGAGAUGUGUGCUUCCUUGCUAAUGAUUUUUCUAAUUCUCUACAUUAAAUAAGAGAAAAUUUGUUAGUAUAUAAUUUCAUAUAAAUAUAUUGUACAAAAAAUGUAAACAUUAAUUAAGUUAUAUGCUUAUAUUACCUUUGUUUCAACCUCAUAUUAUAUCGAACAAAGACAAGGUCAUUCAACCUUUUAUGUU